rnacentral:rRNA from 1 species
UAGGGAAUUUUCCACAAUGGACGCAAGUCUGAUGGAGCAACGCCGCGUGAGUGAAGAAGGUUUUCGGAUCGUAAAGCUCUGUUGUUGGUGAAGAAGGAUAGAGGUAGUAACUGGCCUUUAUUUGACGGUAAUCAACCAGAAAGUCACGGCUAACUACGUG